rnacentral:lncRNA from 1 species
UGAUUAACAAUAAGCUUUGCCCUUCAUUAAACAUAUAAAAAUUUAAUACAAUAAGUAUUCCAAAAGCUAUUACAUCAAAUGAGUGGCUUUGUGGGCAUACUUCCAACAACUUCUAGUGUUGUUCCUUGCUGUUUUAAAGUGUUUUUAAGCUGUUUUGGAGUGUUUUAGUGUGUUUUGACAUAAAAAUCAGAAAAUCUCAUAAAAAUUUGAAAAAUUGUUUUGAAAAACCCAAAAAUAGUUGUUUUUGUGUGAUUAUUUGUGUCUUAGGGUACCUUCCAACAUAAUGAUGAGGAUUUGGUUUUUAAUUACAUGACUAUUAAAGAGAGUUAUAAACAUGGAUAAAAAUUUGAUUUACUCUUUGGUGUAUGCUUGGUUGUGGUUAUAAUUUAUGAAUUCACAUGCAAUCAUAAAGAAAAAAAUCAGUUUUUGUAACAUGCUUGAAGGAAGGAACUCAAAUGAACGCUACAACCUUGUGAGACUUGAGCUAAACGUUUAUUUGAAGAGUUAAUAAUCUGUGCAUCAUUGUUUUCAAAAGUCGUUGCAUGAUCUCAUUAUUCUUUGCUUGGUUACUACUUAGAAGGCGUUUCAUCAUUUAGUUCCAAAUGCUAGAACUCAUGCCUAUUUCAUUCAAAGCAUGCUAAUGAUUUACAUAACACAUAUUCAAGAUGAAGUUGUGUAGUGACCACCAAAGCCAAAUUACCAUGCCCCUAUUUCAUUAUGUGUUUAAGUUUAACCUCGUUGAGCCUUGUUAAGCCUAUGUUCUUUGUUAACCCACACUAUCCUUACCUAGCCUAGUUUUAGGACCAUCCAUACCCUUGUUCUUGAAGCAUAGUAAAGCAUGACCUAAAAUGAACUCCUUUUUUAUCAAUGUAUUGCAUAAAGCAAGUGUGGGGAAAGUGAUUCUUGUGUGUGUGUGUACCAGAGUCCUUAAUAAGGCACGGGUAGAGAAACGAAAAAAAAAAAGUAUGAAAAAGAGCUCUGAAGUGUUGUUUGUUAAAAAAGGGUCCAAAACAUUGAAUUCGGCCCUAAGUGUUGCAUGAAUCUUCCCUUUGUAUGUAAAAGUUAAUUCUGCAUUCUAAAGUGAAUUCCAAGUGUCUAUUUUAUUGCUUUGCUUGCUAUCUCUUUAAGAACAUUAGUUAUUCCUAUCCUUUCUUUGUUAGCCAUUACCCCCAAGCCCUGUUACAACUCUUGACUUCAAUCUUGAGUGUUGUACGUUUCAAUUUGUGGAGUUCGAAAUUGGUAUGAGCAUAUGGUGUCGCUGGUUCUAGCAUCUAAGUAGUAGCAUACCAUUCAUGAGAUCAUAUCUAAACAUGCUUAAUAACUCCAGAAAAUUGCUUCCUUUUUUAUAACAUAUGUGAGUCCCAGUCUCUAGUGUAGGGUGUGUAGUCAGAAAAUGUGUGUGAAAAUAGAGAGUAUCUUGUAAGGAAUUGAGCAAAUUCUCUAAGGCAUGUUACUACAUUCAAAACAUUGUUUUAAUUGGUUAAUUGUAAACAAGUAAGUAGUGACUAUGAUUAAGUUUGUGCUCAAGUGUGAAGAUAACCAAAAUCUGUGGGAAUGAUGAUUUUUAACAUGUCAUGUGCAUUGGAAAUCCCUAAGGCAAAUGUUGGAAGGUUAGGUUGUGUUUUGUUUGUUUUGUUUCGUUUUGUUUCUUUUGUUUUGCUUGAGGACUAGUAAAAGCUAAGUGUGGGGGAAUUUGAUAGGAGCAUAUUUAUGCAACUUAGUUAGCUUGUUUCUUGGCAUUUACUUAGCUUAAUUCUAGUUAUUUUAGUACUUUAAGCUAUUUUCGUGUGUUUGUAGGUUCAAAUAACAA